UACGAAGGGUGCAAGCGUUGUUCGGAAUUACUGGGCGUAAAGGGCGCGUAGGCGGUUCGUUAAGUCCUGUGUGAAAUCCCCCGGCUCAACUGGGGAACUGCACAGGAAACUAGCGGGCUUGAGUUCGGGAGAGGGAAGCGGAAUUCCGGGUGUAGCGGUGAAAUGCGUAGAUAUCCGGAGGAACACCGGUGGCGAAGGCGGCUUCCUGGACCGACACUGACGCUGAGGCGCGAAAGCUAGGGGAGCAAACGGG
rnacentral:rRNA from 1 species